rnacentral:rRNA from 1 species
GGGGGAUAUUGCACAAUGGAGGAAACUCUGAUGCAGCAACGCCGCGUGAGGGAAGACGGUUUUCGGAUUGUAAACCUCUGUCAUUGGUGACGAUAAUGACGGUAGCCAAUGAGGAAGCUCCGGCUAACUACGUGCCAGCAGCCGCGGUAAUACGUAGGGAGCAAGCGUUGUCCGGAAUUACUGGGUGUAAAGGGUGCGUAGGCGGGGAACCAAGUCAGGCGUGAAAACUAUCGGCUUAACCGGUAGCCUGCGUUUGAAACUGGUUCUCUUGAGUGAAGUAGAGGCAGGCGGAAUUCCCGGUGUAGCGGUGAAAUGCGUAGAGAUCGGGAGGAACACCAGUGGCGAAGGCGGCCCCCUGGACGAAGACUGACGCUGAGGCGCGAAAGCGUGGGGAGCAAAC